CCGCCUCGGCCCCGAUGAUGUAAUUAUUUCCCAGCGGCACCUGGGAGCCGCGGUCGCCAUCCUGAGGCAUCGCUCACAGCCAACGAAGCAGCCAGGCGAGAAUGAAAGGAUUCUGGAUUUCUGUAAACAAGGCAUGACUGACGUGGCGGCAGACGAUUUGUGAGGCUCAGCUGAAGAUCGGCGUCACGCGCGCAUCUCUGAACUAAAAGAGAUCAGAGUAAAAGCAAAACACCACUCUGGAUUAAAUUGGUGGUCCUGUGGACCAACAUGCA